CACCCCUCACCGGCAGCACUGCCGGGAGCAGCCCCGGCUCCAGGACCCAAAACCACCCAGCCGUAGAGCAGAGGGACGAGGGCGAACCAAGCGGGUCUUACCUUGCGCCGAGGGAGACGCACCGCACCAGAGGGACGCUCUGCAACCUGGUGCCCUGAGGACCCACCAUGGGGGAGAAACACCACACAGGGCAGAGCCCAGCUGGUGUCUGCCCGGCCCUGAUGGCUCUUGCACAAUGGUGACAGCAGCGAGGGGCAGUCAGCAGCGGCCACGGGCAAGGCCGGGUGCUGAAGCCGAGGGAUGGGGAGCCUGCCCAGCCGGGAGAAGCCGCUCAGCAUCCCGCCAGUGGUUGCCGACACCAUGCAGCCCCCGCCGCCCACACAGACGGCCCCCAGCAGCUUCCUGGCCGUGGCCCUCUGCGACUUCCCCUCCGGCACGGGGGCAGCCGCUGUCCUGAGGAUGGGGGAGCAGCUCCGCGUCCUCUCCGAGGAUGGGGAGUGGUGGCUGGUGGCAUCCGAGGUGUCUGGCAAGGAGUGCCACAUCCCCAGCAGCUGCGUGGCCAAGGUCAGGCACAGGUGGCUGUACGAGGGCGUCAGCCGGCAGAAGGCGGAGGAGCUGCUGCUCCAGCCGGGCAACCGCAGUGGGUCAUUCCUGGUACGGGAGAGCCAGACCAGGCGAGGCUGCUACUCGCUGUCGGUGCGCCGCAGCGAGCGCGCCUCCUGGGACUCGGUGACACACUACCGCAUCCACCGCCUGGAGAACGGCUGGCUCUACAUCUCGCCCCGGCUCACCUUCCCCAGCCUGCACGACCUGGUGGACCACUACUCCGAGUUGGGAGAGGGGCUGUGCUGCCCCCUCGGGGAGCCCUGCUCCACGGAAGGGACGAAGGUGGCCCCAGUGCCCACCAUGCCCGCUGUGGUGAAGAAGCCAUCACUCAAGUGGGACAAGAUCGACAGCUCCCUCCUGUUCUCAGAGGCCACGUCCCCGCCGGAGGAGGACUCUCCCAUCAGCCUGGGCCUGCGAGAAGCCAUCAGCUCCUACCUCCUCCUGACCGAGACGGCCGCCCCGGAGCUGGGCCCUGCCGGGAAGGGGGCAAAGAGCAGCUGAGGGCAGGCCCCUCCUUGUCCACAGCCCCACGGCAGACCCCCGGCCCUCGUGAAGGCAUUGGCCUGGGAGCCAGGCGCCCAGGGCCAGUGGCCUGGACAUGGGACAGCUGAGACCAAGGUGGGGACGGUCAGACGAUGCUGGAGGAAGGGGUGGCCCCAGGGCCUGUCCUCCCCAAAGCUGGGUGCUUUGGGACGUGACGUUUGAGCACCCCGAGUGGCGCCCGUGGGAGGAGACGGCAGAGGCUGUAGACAGCGCUCCCACAGCGGCAGGGGAAGGGGACGCAAACGCCCAACCAGCCACAGGCUGGCCCAGACAGGGGCGGGCAGCACCGGACUGGGAUGCUGAAAGCUGCGAAGGGACAGAACAAGCCCCGAGGAGACCCACUGGUUCCAGAGCAGCAGAGGGCCUGCUAGCUGCCUCAGCCCCCAAGGGUGGGCGGCCACGGAGACUCAGCAAGGACAGGGACUGUCCUCACCAGAGUUGCUCCAAGUGCCCAGGACACUCAUGGGAAUAGAAGCUUCUCAGAUGCUCUCCGCCGUGUCAGGGGCACACCAAGCUUGCAGAGCUGCGGGCACUUCAGCCAGAUCAGCCGUACUGUGGAGAGCACUGACCUCCUCCAACAGCUUUGUCACUGACCUCCUCUGAGGUGACAAGUACUUAGUGACAUCCAGAUGUGCAACCUUGCCAUACUAGCCUAUGCUCUGCCACCUGAAACCAGAGUGCGGGUGCAUCUCUUUCACAAGAGCAUUCUUUCACCAGCAUUUGCAGGGAGCAAAGGGACUCCUCUGGGGGAGCUGCAAAGUAGCCAAAGUAUCUCCAGUAGCUUUGGAGCGCUGUUCAGAGGAUGCAGCCGUUUCUGGAGCCUAGAUUCAGUGUGGCAUUGAGCAAUCCAUUACUCCACUUGUCACGAGGGUACGAAAACCCACCACUUCAUGAGCAGGUCUUUCCCUUGGUGACUCUUGCAACAGUGUAUGUACUCAACCUGCAUGAAGCCACCAGUCUGAAAGCUCAGGAGGUGCACACAACUCCUCUCCUCCUCCUGAGCCCAACGCACCCAACAUCCCUAAACAAUGGGAAACGGGGCCCACGCCAUCCUUGACAACGUAGUGUGCAGUGUCAAACCAGGACUGUGGCACCAUUCAGCCUUUACUGACCAAACACCUCGAUGGCACACAAGCACCACCAGCAGAAACACCCUGCAGGCAGAACACGACAAGUUCCAGCUUUUUUGUUGGUUUGGUCCGUUUUGCUGUCUGCAAACAGGAGAAAACCACGGUAUUUUCUGUUUUUAACUACCUGCCCGUUUGAACACGGACAUUUCCGGUGAGCUGUACCGGGUUUUUUUCCCCUUCGCAAGAGAGUUGCUACACAAACACAGAAGGAUUAGCAUGAAGAUACUAGAUACUCUUCAAAAUAACCGUAAUAGCUUGAGGUGCUCAACGCCGCCACUGGAAAAGCCAACCCAAGGAUCAGUCGUGGAUGCUUUUGCAAUGUGAUGAAACACCAGGGCUGCAGCGGCAGCAAUGGUACUCUAGCACCAUGAUGAGCACGAACGAGAUCCAUGGUCUGGACGAUGACCAACAGCAGAUCAUGCAAUUAGAAGAGGUGAUGUUCUGGACAAAUACCAGCAAGAAUAUUCAAAUGGUUGUGUCAGAUUUCUUAGGCUGAGGAACUCCAAGGUGAAUCUAUCCAUAUGAAGGCUCACAGAUGGCUUAGCAACUCCUUCCCGAUGUGAGCCUGCCCCUACAAGUCUUAAGAUCAAGCAGGUCAAAAACCAACCAAACAAAAAACCCACAACAAAUACCUAAAAAAACAACCCCAAACCAAACCCAGGAGACACAUUCCCAGAAACACGGCUAACCACAGCACCCAUUUCCUCAAAUUAUUUCAAAU